UACGUAGGGUGCAAGCGUUAAUCGGAAUUACUGGGCGUAAAGCGUGCGCAGGCGGUGAUGUAAGACAGUUGUGAAAUCCCCGGGCUCAACCUGGGAACUGCAUCUGUGACUGCAUCGCUGGAGUACGGUAGAGGGGGAUGGAAUUCCGCGUGUAGCAGUGAAAUGCGUAGAUAUGCGGAGGAACACCGAUGGCGAAGACAAUCCCCUGGACCUGUACUGACGCUCAUGCACGAAAGCGUGGGGAGCAAACAGG
rnacentral:rRNA from 1 species